UCUACGUUAUCCUGCUCUCGUUGCUUACCCUUGCUAUUCUCACUCUAGCACAGGAGAAUUACCUCUAUCAUUAUUGCCAAAACGCAAGCACCUCCACAUUAAACAGCACCUACCGAGUCAAUCUAAAUCUCCUCCUCUCUUCACUUGCCUCAAAUGCAACCCUGAAUAAUACCAUUGGAUUCUACAACACCUCUUUCGGGCAGAGCACUGAUCAAGUGUACGGCCUGUUUAUCUGCCGUGGCGAUCUUAGCAGCACUACUGUUUGCCAAAAUUGUGUCACCUUCGCCACCAAAGAUAUAGUCCAGCGUUGCCCAAUUGGAAUAGCGUCCAUUGUGUAUUACGAUGCGUGCAUCCUACGUUACUCUAACGUGAACUUUUUCUCCAAGGUGGAUCAAAUCCCUGGUUUCUCCUUGUUAAACACACAAAAUAUCACAACCGAACCCCAGCGUUUUAAUAAUCUAGUGGGAGCCACCGCGAAUGAUUUGGCUGCUCGAGCUGCAAGUGCUCCUCCAGGUGCUAAAAAGUUUGCCGUGAACAAAACGUCUUUCGAUGCGUUUCAAAAUAUAUACAGCCUUGCCCAGUGCACACCGGAUUUAUCUAGCUCUGAUUGCAAUCGAUGUCUCAGUGCAGCUAUAGCUAGAUUGCCCAUUUGCUGCAGCAGCAAGAUAGGAGGAAGAGUCUUGUUUCCUAGUUGUUAUAUUCAUUAUGAAAUUUCUGAAUUUUAUAAUGCAGCGGAGUCACCUCCUCCUCCGCCCGUGGUUCUUCCUUCUCCUCCACCUCCUCGUUCAGUGACAAUACCAGAAGGUAAAGUUAGUUUGCACGAUUUAUCCUCGUUUAUUGUUACUAUAUAUAGAAUGCACUCGUCGAAAUUUAAAUUUAUCUCAUAGAUUUUUUGGAUGAGAUUUAUUUAUUAAAUUAUGAAAUACAAAAUCCUUAAAUUAUUUUGGAAAAAAAAUCAAUCCUUUUGUAAAUUUUAAAAUUAUACUACGAUUUUUUUUUUCCUAGUCGGUUGAUAUUCUGGAUUCAAAUGUGAUGGUUGUGGCCCCAUUCUUGUAAGGAAUUAUUGCCAUGUGAUCUUACGAUUUUAUCCUCCAAAAGGCAUCUCACAUGUUUGAAAAUCAAUUCCUAGUCCUCGUUAGAGGAAAGUGUAUCCCACGCCACGUGAUAGUACCUCGGUACCUCCAAAAUGGCUCGGUUGUGUAUGUGAUGGUCUUGGCCUCAUCCUUUGAGAUAUUUAUCACACGAUUUCUUGCGUGUUGUGCAAAACUUGCAACAAAAUAAAAUAAAAUAAUUGGAGUAUGGGUUAUAUAUUUUUUUAGCUUACUUUCUGCUAAAUGUUUUGUUGGUUUUGAAAAUAACUCAGUUAUUUUAAGCUUUUUAUUUAUUUAUGUUUUUUGUUGGAUUUUUUUAACUAAUUUUUUAAAUUAAUAUCUUUUCUUGAUUUCAUCCUUAAAUAUUUAAAAUUAGUUUUUAAACAAUUUAUAAGAUUAACAUUCAUUUUCUAUUUCAUCUCCCUUUAUUUAUUUAUUUUAUCUUUCAGAUUGUGUUCUCAUUUUUUUUAUUUCUAUUUGUUUUAUUUGAGAUAAUUAUUUUAAUUUAUUUUUUUUCUCUAGAUUUUUUCAUUGAUUUUAAAAAUGACAUGAGUUUUCUUCAGUUUUUUUAUUUGUUGUUCUUUGUUGGAUUUACUUUCGCUAAUCAAUAUUAAAUUAGUUGAGAAUUGAAUCAGCCCGGGUCUAGAAUUUAAAGGGUUGUGAGUUUAAGAUCUUUGUUUAUGUUUAAAAGGUUUGCCUGAUUUUUCUUGGGUUUUUUUUUAGUUUAUGACUUUUGAGUUUUAUCAUUCAAUAUUUAUAUCAUUUCCUAUAUGAUUUUUUUUAAUUUUGUUUUUUAGGUUCCCAAGUUGUUUUUAUGUUUUCCAUAUGUCAACCUUUUUUUCUUUAUUGGGUCUAUGGCCCAAGUUACAUUUUAAAAAAAACAAAAUUAAAAAAUGUUUCCUCAUAAAAUUACAAAUAUUUAUCAAUUUCAUCCCUUUUAUUUUUUUUAUCUUUUAAAUUUAGUCCUUAUUAUUUUGAUUGUUAUUUAUUUUGUUUGAGAUCACUUUUUAGAUUGCUUUUUAUAUAUAUAAUUUCAUCCCCCACGAGAUUGUUUUUCUAUUAUAUUUGAUUUCUAUUCUUUUUAUUGCUAUCUUUUCUGCUUUUUCAAGUUUUUUAAAUUAAUAUUCUUUUUAUGAUUUCAUCUUUUGAAAUUAAAUUGGUUGAGAAUCAAGUUUCUUGAUUCAACUCGGGUCCAAGAAUUCAUUAGUUGCGAGUUUUAGAGAUUGGACUAGGUUUAAGAGAUGCGCUCGGGUUUUCUUAGUUUUUUUAAAGAUAAUGUUUUUUAUUUCUUAACCUUUUUUUAGUUUUGCAUUAUUAUUUUUUACGGUUUGCCUUCCAUGAGAUUAAUCACAGGUUCAUGACUAGGGUUACCGAUUUCAGAGCUUAAUAGGGGUUGACUUUGUUUUGUUCUUUUUUUUAAAAAUUGAUUUAUUUUUAUUUUAUUCUUUAAUAUUUAAUUUAUUAGAAAGUGGUCUUAAUACCUUUUCUUUUCCUUUUCUUCUAUUUGUUUAUCUCGAUCAUGUGCCCAUAGUCAUGAGGUUUGCAAGUAAACUCAGGUUGACUCAUAUAUUUUCAUGUUGCCUUUUUAAACAUUGAAUUAUUUGAUAAUUAAGUUACAUGAUUAUAUUCAAUAUGCUUUCGAAAGUGGUCACUCUAGUAUCACAAUGAGGUCAUAGAUUUUAUAUCAUAACCCCGGUGAGCGCAGAUCAAGGUUUUUCAUCCUUUUUUUAUUAUCUUUCUUUCUUAAUUUUUAUCCUUCAAUAUUUUAUUUACUAGAGAUUGAACUUCAACUUGUUUCUUUUUAUUUUUUAUUCUUUGAAGAUAUCAUGUUCUCAUUUGAUUUAUUAUGAAUUGGACUUUGAGCUUUUUUUCUUGCGUUUUUUUUACGAGAUUAUCUUAAUCUUAAGUCAAUGGUCAUAAAGUUUGCAAGUUAACUUAUUUUAAUUGAGAUUUUUUUAAUUAUUUUUUGUUUUGCCUUUCAACAUUAGAGUUGUUUGAUAAUUCAGGUAGACUCAUGUUAGGUUCUUUUAAACUUUUUUAUUUUAUUUUUUUAUCAGUUUAUUUAGUGUUGUUGUAUUUUAUUAAUCAUGUCAUUUGAAUUACUAAUUGAACCAAUAACUCAAUUCUCAAAAAAAAAAUUCCUUGGCAUUUUUUUUUCUACGUUGAAAAAAUAUUUGGCUUUCGCGGAUAACAAAUCUAAGUUUAAAUUCUAAAGAGGGAACAUAAAUCUGAACUAUCUCUUCAAUCCCAUUUUUUUUUAUUAUUCUUUAUCCUUUUACUAAAUAUUUCAAAUAAGUUUUUUGAGUAUAUCCAUAUUUCAAAUUGUUGCAUUCCCCUAGUGUGAUAUUUUGAAGGACAUAUUUUGAUAGCAUUUGGUCAUUCCGUGAAAGCCGCUAUUGACUUUAGAUCAUGGAAGCAAAGUUAUAAAACCGGGUUAAGUUUAUAAUUCAGCACGAGACUUGGAUUAUGAGUUGGAUUAGUCAAUACAGGUAAAUCUAAACUAGUGUGAUUUCAAGAUUCGUUUUAAGAAACAUUUGAAAUGAUAUCGGAUUGGAAAAAAAUUUAAAAGAACCAAAAAUAACUCAUAAAAACUCUUAUUCAAGUUUUAAUUAGGUUAAUCAGGUCAUAAAAUAAUCAAAUUUGACAUAAUUAACUCUCAACACGGUUUGAUAUAAAAUCUUAUUUAGGCUAGUUACCGGUUCAGCAGUUUGACUCACCAAACCAAGCUAGGUUUAUAGCAUUUUUACUAAAAUAAUUUAUUAUCCUUGUUCUUUGAAAAAAUAUAUCUUGAAAUGGUUACAUAUUGAUUAGUCAAUUUUCUUUAAAAAAAAAAAUUAAUUUAUCAUCUUUGUUCUCUUAAAAUAAUUUCUUGAAUUACAAUGCGUUUUUGAAUGAUACAUGUUUCUUUAUGCAGAAAAAGGCGGUGUCCCAACAGUUUUAAUUAUGGCCAUUGUCAUUCCCAUUGCUGUUUCUACCGCGCUUUUCAGCAUGUGUCUCUGUUUCCUGAGGAGGGCAAGAAAGAUCAGAGAUCAUGUGCCAGAAAAUGAUGGUAAAUAACAUUAGAAAUCUUUUUUAAUUGGGAAACAAAAAAAUAAAAGUAGAGUCUUUUCUGUUUUGUACUCUGCCUAAUAAUAUUUUCAAAAGCUCAAAGGAAUAUCUACUUGUGUUGUGUAGUUGGAGAUGAGAUUACCACCGAGGAGUCCUUGCAAUUUGAUUUGAGUACUAUAGAAGCUGCCACGAACAAUUUUUCCGCUGAUAACAAGUUAGGUGAGGGAGGAUUUGGUGAGGUUUACAAGGUAAGCAAUUCGUAAAGCAUUUAAAUUUUCAAGAACAGGAAAUACCUUGUUGCAUUAGGAUUUAAAAAUCCCUUGCUCAACCAUCGGUGAAAGUGCUUUCUCAGGGAACACUUCCUAAUGGACAACAAAUUGCUGUGAAGAGGCUAUCAAGAAAUUCUGGACAAGGUGCUGCAGAAUUUAAGAAUGAGGUUGUAUUGGUAGCCAAGCUUCAACACAGGAAUCUAGUGAGGGUGCAAGGGUUUUGCUUGGAAAGAGAAGAAAAGAUUCUUGUCUAUGAAUUUGUCAGCAACAAAAGCCUUGACUACUUUCUAUUUGGUAUAUAUUGAUGAUUUUCUAAAUGUUCUUCUCAUUGCCUUCUAGUACGAGAAAUGCAUAUUUGCCUCAAGGAAUAUAGUCGAUUCUUCGUAAUCAGGCACAAUUGUCUUUGAAACAGUUGAUCUGCACUCUGACUUGAAGGUUCUGUUUUCUUGAUUUUAUAGACCCUGAAAGGCAAGGACUGUUGGACUGGUCCAGACGGUACAAAAUAAUAGGGGGCAUUGCUCGAGGAAUUCUUUAUCUUCACGAGGACUCUCGCCUAAGAAUUAUACAUCGUGACCUCAAAGCCAGCAAUAUUCUGCUAGAUGGACAUAUGAACCCCAAAAUCUCAGAUUUUGGCUUGGCUAGGAUUUUCGUAGUUGAUCAAACUCAAGCAAGUACCAAUAGAAUUGUUGGAACAUAGUAAGUUUGGAUCUAAUUUCCAUUGAUUAGUAAAUUCAUUUGCUGACAGAGUGCUUUCAUUUCGUUUUUUUUCUAAUCAUUUCUCUGUUUUUCUGGUUUGUAGUGGUUAUAUGUCCCCAGAAUAUGCAAUGCAUGGGCGUUUCUCUGUCAAGUCUGAUGUCUAUAGCUUUGGUGUCUUAAUCCUUGAGAUUAUAACCGGAAAGAAGAACAGUUCUUUCUAUCAAACAGGGGGUGCUGUAGACCUUGUGAGCUAUGUGAGUGCAAGUUUUUCUCUCUUGAAAACAAAUAGCAUAAGAUGUAGCAACUUUUGACCAUUCAAUUUUCUUUUUCCAGGUUUGGAAACAUUGGAGAGAUGGGACACCAUUGGAAGUGCUGGAUCCAACUCUGACAGAUACAUAUUCAAGAAAUGAAGUAAUUAGAUGCAUCCACAUUGGAUUGUUAUGUGUUCAAGAAGAUCCAGCUAUCAGACCCGCAAUGGCAACAAUUGUUCUCACACUCAAUAGUUACUCGGUUACCUUACCAUCACCACAAGAACCAGCUUUUUUUAUCCAUAGCACUAUAACAGAUGAAGUGAACAUUUCAAGCAAGGAAUUUCUUUUCGAACAUUCUAAAAGCAAGUCUGUUGCUUAUUCUGUAGAUGAAGCUUCAAUUACUGAAGUAUAUCCUCGAUAGGGAGCAUGUGUAUUUUCUCUAAAAUAAGCACUGGAAAAAAAAACAUGAGGUUAAUUUUUCAGUACCAAACACAUGAGGUUAACUUUAUAUUGAUUAUCAAAACUGUAAAAUACUUUAAAACUAGUCAUUGAAGGCCAAUAAUUCAAAUAUAAAAUUAUAUCAAAUCUUUAAGGAUUUAUGUUAUGAAGUUCUCCUUAUAUAUAUAUAUAUAUAUAUUCUUUAUUUUCUAGCUACUAAUUAUAGCAGCAAUCCAUGAAAACUUAAUAAAAAGUAUUAAAUAUAAAGGUGAAUAAUUCAUGUGUGAAGCCCAUGGUAAGAACUCUAAUAAUUAAAUACAUGUAAGUUUUUGCAUUUAAUACUUGAGUGAACUUAGUUGUUGUCUAGAAGACUAUUAUAUAUUAUCGAUGAUAUUGCCAACCUGUUUUUCAAGCAGUUGUUUAUAAUUAAGUUCCUUUAAAUAUAGUAUGAAAUAAUAAUGAUGUAUUUGAGUUUUAUUUAGCAUAAUGAAAUUACAAUUUUUUUUUCUAAAAAAAAAAAAGAACUUAUCAGUCAAUAAAAACAGCUUAUAGAAAUUUCAAAGAAAUGGAGACAAAUUAGCGCUCGUCAACAAAUCCAGAAUGACUAUCACAACAAAUCCAGUCUAUAAGAACUUUCCACCAAGUCAACAUUUGUUUUCUCUAAAUGUGGCAUGACCUUUUUCAUUGACUUCAGUCUCCAGUCUUGCUCUACUCCUUGUCCACGUUACCUUUACCAGAUCUGAUAUUCUGAUAUAUAUAUAUAUAUAUAUAUAUAUAUAUAUAUAUAUAUAUAUUCGUUCUAUUUAUCCUAAGUAUAAUUAAUAAAAAAGCUUCUAGAAAUUUCAAAGAAAUGGAGACAAAUUAGCGCUCGUCAACAAAUCCAGAAUGACUAUCACAACAAAUCCAGAAUACAUCACCAUUCAAAUGUUCUAUAAGAACUUUCCACCAAGUCAACAUUUGUUUUCUCUAAAUGUGGCAUGACCUUUUUCAUUGACUUCAGUCUCCAGUCUUGCUCUACUCCUUGUCCACGUUACCUUUACCAGAUCUGAUAUAUAUAUAAUGUCCAAAAUAUUGAAAGGACUUGUUACUUGAACGAAUAUUACUAUUUGAUUUUCCUGGAAAAAAAGAAGAAGUUAUAAGUCUAAAAAAAUCUUUUGUUUAUUAAAAGUGAACUAAUAGGUAAUUUUAAAUAGUGAGAAAAGAAAAGAAGAUAAAUAUUAAGGAUAUGUUUUUAUUAAAAGAAAAAUUGCUUUUUUUUUAUCCAUUAUUAUAGAGUGUAUAUUAUUUAAUUAAUUAAUAAAAUGAUGUAAAAUAUGAAAUGAUUUUAAUUAGUUAUUCUAAAGUAAAGAUUGCGAUCAAUCAAGAAGUGCCGGUGCUAAUCCUCUCUGGUAGAAAAACUAGUUAUAGAAAUUUCUAAGAAAUGAACACAAAGUAGCAGAAAGCAACACGGCAAGGGACUCCAUCAUCUCUGUCCCCACUAUCAUUGAAUUUUUUCCAAUCAGCAAUAAAUGAGAGCACGACUUUUUUCAUUGGCUUAAUCUCCAGUUUUACUAAGCUUCUCUCCAUUCCUUGUCCACAUUACCUCUCAUGUGAUAAAAUGAUGAACUCUCUUUCUUCCACCAUGAGGGCUGUUAGCUAGCUAGAGAGCUUGAUCACCAAAAACAUGAACUCUCUCAAAUUCUACGUUAUCCUGCUCUCGUUGCUUACCCUUGCUAUUAUCACUCUAGCACAGGAGGAUGCGGAUGCCAAUUACCUCAAUCAUUUUUGCCAAAACGCAACCACCUCCACAAUAAACAGCACCUACCGAGUCAAUCUAAAUCUCCUCCUCUCUUCACUUGCCUCAAACGCAACCCGGAAUAAUACCAAUGGAUUCUACAACACCUCUUUCGGGCAGAACACUGAUCAAGUGUACGGCCUGUUUAUCUGCCGUGGCGAUGUUAGCAACACUGUUUGCCAAAAUUGUGUCACCUUCGCCACCAAAGAUAUAGUCCAGCGUUGCCCAAUCGGAAUAGCGUCCAUUGUGUAUUACGAUGCGUGCAUCCUACGUUACUCAAACAGGAACAUUUUCUCUAAGGUGGAUCAAAGCCCUGGUUUCACCUUGUUAAACACACAGAAUAUCACAACCGAACCCCAGCGUUUUAACAAUCUAGUGGGAGCCGCCGUGAAUGAUUUGGCUGCUCGAGCUGCAAGUGCUCCUCCAGGUGCUAAAAAGUUUGCCGUGAACAAAACGUCUUUCAAUGCGUUCCAAAAUAUAUACAGCCUUGCCCAGUGCACACCGGAUUUAUCUAGCUCUGAUUGCAAUCGAUGUCUCAGUGCAGCUAUAGCUGGAUUGCCCAAUUGCUGCAGCAGCAAGAUAGGAGGAAGAGUCUUGUUUCCUAGUUGUUAUAUUCAUUAUGAAAUUACUGAAUUUUAUGAUGCAACGGCAGUUGCAGCGGAGUCACCGCCUCCUCCUCCUCCGCCCGUGGUUAUUCCUUCUCCUCCACCUCCUCGUUCAGUGACAAUACCAGAAGGUAAAGUUAUUUUGCACUAUUUAUUGUUUUUGUCAAUAUCUUUAAUCGCCACUCUAGCAAAGUCGUUACUAUAGAAUGCACUAGUCGAAAUUUAAAUUUAUCUCUUAAAUUUUUUUGGAUGAGAUUUAUUUAUUAAAUUACAAAAUACAAAAUCCUUAAAUCAUUUUGGAAAAAAAAUUAAUCCUUUUGUAAAUUUUAAAAUUAAGCUACGGUUUGGUUUUUUUUUUUCCUGGUUGGUUGGUUGGUAUUCUUGAUUCAAAUGUGAUGGUUUUGGCCCAAUUCUUGUGAGGUAUUAUUGCCAUGUGAUCUAACGAUUUUAUCCUCCAAAAGGCAUCUCACAUGUUUGAAAGUCAAUUCCUAGUCCUCGUUAGAGGAAAGUGUAUCCCACGCCAUGUGAUGGUUGUGUAUGUGAUGGUCGUGGGCCUCGUGGCCUAAUCCUUUGAGAUAUUUAUCCUCUUUGGUUACUUGGGCACACGAUUUUGUGCGUGUUGUGCAAAACUUGCAACAAAAUAAAAUAAAAUAACAAACACUUGCAAUAUUUACCAUGUUUGGAUCAAGAAUUGCCUACCUCCAUGAACAAUUUAAAAAAAACCCAUCUAAAUUAAGAAAAAAAACCUUGCAAGAACAAAUCCCUCAAGUCAAGCCCUCUAAAGAUAAACUUCUCAAAGCUACAACCGAAUCGUCACGAAUGUAGGAAUCCCACCACACUACAUAUUUUUCCUAGUAGAGAUUCAACAAUUCAAUUUUUACUCAUCCAGAUUAAAUCAAUCUCUCUAAUUGCUCUGGGUUAAAUUAGAAAAUUCAUCAGGGUUUUACUUCUUACAUCUUGAACGUCGAUUAACCACACUACAUAUUUUUCCUAGUAGAGAUUUGCGACACGAUUCAACAAUUCAAUUUUUACUCAUCAAAGAUUAAAUCAAUCUCUUUAAUACUUAAAUUAGAAAAUUCUUCAGGCUUUUACUUCUUGCAUCUUGAACUUAGAUUAACCAAAAAAACUUGAGAAUUUAUUGUAGCUCCAGAGACAAAUCAAAAUUGCUCUGUACAUUAAAAAAAAAAAAACCUUUUAACUAGGCAUUGAUGAUAAUAUUAUCUCUUUACUGUAACACAAUUAUCUUUAACAAUUUAUGUAAGAUUAAGUUGAUAAUUUAAUAUUUUUACAUAGUAAAAAUAUUUAUGUAUCCCUACAAUAAAAAAAAAUAUGUUGUCUUUCACUUAGGGAAUUUUGAUAUUUUAAUUUUUUUAAAAUAGUUAAAUUACCUUUAUGUCUUUAAAGAUAAAAUCAAUAUAACACUCUCACAUGAGCUUUUUCAUCUUUUUACCAUGAUUUGUUUUUUAAUAUCAUGAUAGUUAAGGGACAUUGUUUUAUUUUAAUAAAUGUUAGAUAUUGUUUUUUAAAAAAACUUACUAGCGAGUGCUAGUAGCUCCCGAGUCCUUCAACUGGCGAGUGCAGGUUGCCCGACCAACGAAUGCUGCCAUCACUAAUAUUGUUGGAAUUGUCAUGGCGCCCUGAUGCAAUGGGGCGGCUCGUAUUUCAAGAUUCCCAAUGAUGUGGUGUCGAUAAUCAUUUUUCUCCCCUCUUCUCUCUCUCCAGAUCUACAUUUUCACGUCAGACCUUUAACAACUCUAGAAUAGCCCUGUAAUUUUUUAAUUCUUUAGAUUUGGUCUCUAUUUUUUUAUUAUAAUUUCAUUAUCUUCAAUAAUUUAUAAAAUUGGUAUGCCUUUUCGAUUUCAUCCAUCUUCACUUUUUUUCAUCUAUUAAAUUUGAUCAUCGUUCUUUUGAUUACUAUUUUUUUGUUCGAAAUCAUUUUUUAAAUUGAUUUUGCUUUACAAUUUCACCAUUCUUUGUUUUUUUUCCUAUCAAAUAAUUUAAUCUUCAUUCUUUUGAUUGUCAAUUUUUUUGCUUUGACAAGUUUUUUGAAUUGCUUCGUAAUAAACUUCUUGAUUGAACAUGAAUCCAGGAUUUCACGGAUUGCGAGUUUUAAAGAUUUGACCAAGUUUAUGAUGUUUUCUAGGUUUGCUUGGUUUUUUAUUUUUCUUUGUCUAAGUUAAUUUUUUGCUCGUCUCAUCCUUCAAUAUUUAUUCAAUGGGAGAUUGGGUUACAUAUUGUUUUAGCUUGCUUUCUGCUAAAUUUUUUGUUGGUUUUGAAAAUGACCUGGUAAUCUUGAGCCUUUUAUUUAUCCUUCUUUGUUGGAUGUUUUUGGCUAAUUCUUGAAAUUAAUAUCUUUUCCUGAUUCCAUCCUUAUAUAUUUGAUAUUAUUUUUAAACCAAUUUAUAAGAUUAAAUUUUUUUUUCUAUUUCAUCUCCCUUUAUUUUUUUUUUAUCUUUCGGAUUGUGUUCUCACUCUUUCGAUUUUUAUUUAUUUUAUUUGAAAUAACUUUUUAAAUUUAUUUUCUUUCUCUAGGAUUUUUCAUUGAUUUUAAAAAUGACUCGGGUUUUCUGAAGUCUUUUUAUUUGUUUUUCUUUAUUGGAUUUACUUUCGCUAAUCAAUAUUAAAUUAGUUAAGAAUUGAACUUCUUGAUUCAACCCGAAUCUAAAAUUUAAUGGGUUGCGAGUUUGAGACAUUUGCUUAGUUUUAAAAGGUUCACCCAGUUUUGUUUUGUUUUUUUUAAGCUGAUGACUUUUUAAUUUUUUUAUUCAAUAUUUAUAUAAUUAAUGAGUAGACUUUUGUUUUUUAUUAUGAACCUUUUAUAUGAUUUUUUUUUUCGGGUUCCCAUAUUUUUUUUUAUGUUUUCCAUGUCACUUUUUUUUCUUUGUUAGGUUUAUGGCCGGAGUCACAUUUGUUUUUUAAAAAUAAAAUAAAACAAGCUUGCCUAAAAAAAUUACAAAUGUUUUUCAAUUUCAACCCUAUCAUAUAUAUAUAUAUAUAUAAACAAUAUAAAAAAUGAUCCCAAACAAAACAAAUAACAGCUAGAGCUAAUCCAGUUCCAUACGUGACACUUUUGAGAACAUUCGAAUUCGACUGCUAAGUUCAAGAAAGCUUUCAAGGUAGCAUAGUUAUGAAGUCAACAGAGAUGCGUGUCUUCUGCUUGAUGCGCGUUAUCCGCUGUUGUCUCUUUCGUUACCAUAUUAGACCAUUUCAAAUGAUAGCGGAAUGACUCAAGGCUAAGGCCUAAGCAACAAGAAAAAGAAGGAGAUACAGAGAUUGCUAGGACAUGUACAUUUCCUUCAAAGGGAAGGGCUUUCAUCGACCAAGCGAGUAGUUUACACCUUGCUAAUGACAUAAGUAAAAACACCUUUUACAUGAGUUUUUUUUCUAUCAAAUUUGAUCUUUAUUUUUUUAUUGUUAUUUUUUUUUCUUUCUCAAGUUUUUUAAAUUAAUAUUUUUUUCAUGAUUUUAUCUUUUAAAAUUAAAUUGGUUGAGAAUGAAGUUUCUUGAUUCAACUUGAAUCCAGGAAUUCAUCGGUUGUGAGUUUUAGAGAUUGGACCAGGUUUAUAAGGUGUGCUCGGGUUUCCUUAGUUUUUCUUUUUCUUUUUCUUAAAGAUAAUGUUUUUUUAUUUCUUAACCUUUUUUUUAGUUUUGCAUUAUUAUUUUUUACGGUUUGCCUUCUAUGAGAUUAGUCGGGUUCAUGACUAGGGUCUCCAGUUUCAAAGCUUUAGGGGUUGACUUGUUUUUGUUUUUUUUUUAAAUUGAUUUAUUUUUAUUUCAUCUUUCAACAUUUAGUUUAUUGAAAAAUGGUUUUCACACCUUUUCUUUUCAUUUCCUUCUAUUGGUUUAUCUCAAUCAUAUGCCUAUGGUUAUAGGGUUUACAGGUAAACCAGAUUGACUCAAUUUUUUUCUCAUUGUCUUUUUAAAUUAUAUUUCUUUUUUUUUAUUCUUCAACAUUGAAUUGUUUGAUAAUUGAGCUUCAUGAUUAUAUUCAAUUUUCUUUCAAAUGUGAUCAUUCUAGUAUCAUAACUAGGUCAUAGAUUUUGCAUCUUAACCUUAGCGGGCACAAAUCGAGUUUUUUCAUCCUUUUUUAAUUAUCUUUCUUUCUUAAUUUUUAUCUUUCAAUAUUUUAUUUGUUGGAGAUUUAAUUUCAGCUGUUUUCUUUUUAUUUUUCAUUCUUUGGAGCUAUCAUGUUCCCAUUUGAUUUAUUAGGAAUUGAACUUUGAGUAUUUUUUCUUGCAUUUUUUUCUCUCUAUAAGACUAUCUUAAUCUUAUGUCAAUAGUCGUGAAGUAUGCAAGUUAACCUGUUUCAACUCAGGCUUUUUUUAAUUAUUUUUUGUUUUGCCCUUUAAUAUUAGAGUUGUUUAAUAAUCCAGGUAAGCUCAAGUUAGGUUCUUUUUAUCUUUUUUAUUUUUUUAUCAUUUUAUUUAGUGUUGUUGUAUUUUAUUAAUCAUAUUAUUUGAAUUACCAAUUGAACCAAUAACUCAAUUCUCAAAAAAAAUUUCUUAGCAUUUUUUUCUAUAUGUUGAAAAUAAAUUUAUGUUACUCAGCCCACAAAUCUAGUUUGAAUUAUAAAGAGGGAACAUAAAUCUGAACUAUCUCUUCAAUCUCAAUUUUUUUUAUUCUUUAUCCUUUUACUAAAUAUUUCAAAUAAGUUUAUUGAGUAAGUUUUUUUGAGUAUAUCCAUGUCGUCCAUCUGGACUAUUAAAUUUAUAUCAUGGACUUUGAGAAUAUUUUGAUAGCAUUUGGUCAUUUGAUCCAAAAUCAAAAAGAUAUUCAUGUUGGAUUUUCAACGUGUUACAAAAGGUUAAUUACUAGCUUGAAAGCCGCUUUUGACUUUACAUCAUGGAAGCAAAGUUAUCAAACCCAGCCAAUUAUAUGAGAUGAUUCAGCUCAAGACUUGAAUUAUAAGUUGGUUUAGUUCAUACAGGAAAAUCCAAUCUAGUAUCAUUUUAAAAUUUAUUUUAAGAAAUAUUUAAAAUAAAAAAAAAUUAAAAACUCAUAAAGGAUCUCAUUUAGAUUUUGACUAGGUCAUUUGGGUCACAGAAUAAUUAAAUUUGACAUGGUUAACUCCCAACACGCUUUAAUAUAAAACCUUGUCUAUGCUAGUUACCGGGUCGGCAAUUUGACUCACCAAACCAAGCCAAGUUUAUAGCAUUUUUACUAAAAAAAAAUAGUUAUCUAAAAAUAAUUUAUUAUCUUUUGUUCUUCGAAAAAAUGUUUCGACAUCGUUAAAUAUUUUCUUUUUUCUAAUUUCUUAACCCCCCCCCCUCCAAAAAAAAAAAAAAAGAGCUCCCAUGUCAUUCACAAUGGAUUCGUUUAUGUUUGAACAUGCUUGUUUGUAAAAGUUAAAAGCUUUUAUGAAUUCCAAUGCGUUUUUGAAUGAUACAUGUUUCUUUAUGCAGAAAAAGGCAGUGUCUCAACAGUUUUAAUUAUAGCCAUUGUCAUUCCGAUUGCUGUUUCUAUCGCGCUUUUCUGCAUGUGUUUCUGUUUCCUGAGAAGGGCAAGAAAGACCAGAGAUUAUGUGCCAGAAAAUGAUGGUAAAGAACAUUAGAAAUCCUUUUUAAUUGGGAAACAAAAAAAAAAGCAGACUCUUUUCUGUUUUGUACUCUGCCUAAUAAUAUUUUCAAAAGCUCAAAGGAAUAUCUACUUGUGUUGUGUAGUUGGAGAUGAGAUUACCACCGAGGAGUCCUUGCAAUUUGAUUUGAGUACUAUAGAAGCUGCCACGAACAAUUGUUCCCCUGAUAACAAGUUAGGUGAAGGAGGAUUUGGUGAGGUUUACAAGGUAAGAAAUUCGUAAAGCAUUUAAAUUUUCAAGAACAGGAAAUACCUUGUUGCAUUAGGAUUUAAAAAUCACUUGCUCAACCAUCGGUGAAAGUGCUUUCUCAGGGAACACUUCCUAAUGGACAACAAAUUGCUGUGAAGAGGCUAUCAAGAAAUUCUGGACAAGGUGCAGCAGAAUUUAAGAAUGAGGUGGUAUUGGUAGCCAAGCUUCAACACAGGAAUCUAGUGAGGUUGCAAGGGUUUUGCUUGGAAAGAGAAGAAAAGAUUCUUGUCUAUGAAUUUGUCAGCAACAAAAGCCUUGACUACUUUCUAUUUGGUAUAGAUUGAUGAUUUCCUAAAUGUUCUUCUCAUUGCCUUUUAGGACGAGAAAUGCAUAGUUGCCUCUAGGAAUAUAGCCAUUUCUUCGAAAUCAGCCACAGUUGUCUUUUAACCUAUGGAUCUGCAGUCUGACUCGAAGGUUCUUUUUUCUUGAUUUUGUAGACCCUGAAAGGCAAGGACUGUUGGACUGGUCCAGACGGUACAAAAUAAUAGGAGGCAUUGCUCGAGGAAUUCUUUAUCUUCACGAGGACUCUCGGCUACGAAUUAUACAUCGUGACCUCAAAGCUAGCAAUAUUCUGCUAGAUGGAGAUAUGAACCCCAAAAUCUCAGAUUUUGGCUUGGCUAGGAUUUUCGUAGUCGAUCAAACUCAAGCAAGUACCAAUAGAAUUGUUGGAACAUAGUAAGUUUGGAUCUAAUUCCCAUUGAUUAGUAAAUUCAUCUGCUGACAGAGUGCUUUCAUUUCGUUUUUUUCUAAUCAUUUCUCUGUUUUUCUGGUUUGUAGUGGUUAUAUGUCCCCAGAAUAUGCAAUGCAUGGGCGUUUCUCUGUCAAGUCUGAUGUCUAUAGCUUUGGUGUCUUAAUCCUUGAGAUUAUAACCGGAAAGAAGAACAGUUCUUUCUAUCAAACAGGCGGUGCUCCAGACCUUGUGAGCUAUGUGAGUGCAAGUUUUUCUCUCUUGAAAGCUGAUACCAUCACCAUAAAUUCAACAUCUGGGUUUUACAUCUUGAGGACAAAUAGCAUAAGAUAUAGCAACUUUUGACCAUUCAAUUUUCUUUUUCCAGGUUUGGAAUCAUUGGAGAGAUGGGACACCAUUGGAAGUGCUGGAUCCAACUCUGACAGAUACUUAUUCAAGAAACGAAGUAAUUAGAUGCAUCCACAUUGGAUUGUUAUGUGUUCAAGAAGAUCCAGCUAUCAGACCCGCAAUGGCAACAAUUGUUCUCACACUCAAUAGUUACUUGGUUACCUUACCAUCACCUCAAGAGCCUGCAUUUUUUUUCCGUAGCACUAUAACAGAUGAAGUGAACAUUUCAAGCAAGGAAUUUCUUUUAGAUCAAUCUAAAAGAAAGUCUAUUGCUUAUUCUGUAGAUGAAGUUUCAAUUACUGAAGUAUAUCCUCGAUAGGGAGUAGGUGUAUUUUCUCUAAAAUAAGCAUAGGAUAGAAAACAUGAGGUCAAUUUUUCUGUACCAAACACUUUAAAAUUGUGAUUUUCAUUGUUGACAAAUAAAACACGAGUAUUUUGAAUGAAUGCCCAAAGCUUUAUUGAUUAGCUCACACUUAUUUACACACUUAUAAUUCUUAAUAAAUUGGCUCGUAUUUAUAAGGAAAUUAAUCCUCUAACUUUCAUAAUCUAAUAAGAAUUCUACACAAUGAUUAUAACUAUUAUCUAACAAUCUCUCCCUUAAACAGAUGUUUUUAAACACCCAGUUUAACAAUAAAGAAUUUUCAUUUAACUUUGUCUUGACAUCUAUUUAUACCAAUGGUCUUUCAUCCUUUUAGAAGUUUGGUUAAUUUUCUAGUGUUGUUUUUCUUAACGAUAACAAUUUCAUCAUCCAUAAACUUUUGCCACUUUAUUUUUUUUACAGCAUUUUCAGAAGUCAUAGGAUCACACAAUGAAAACAUAGCAAAAUGAGCAAGUGGAUCAUCAGAUUAAUUGAUUUUAGUUGCCUCAUAAUUAUUCAUCCAUGUAGGCCUUUUGUAGCAUACUGUGAUUGUUGAUCAUUAUCUGCAUAUGAUGUUAUCAAUGGCACUUGAUCACCUAUUAAUUGUGGUGAUUUAUUCAUUGGCCUCUUUUUUUUUUUUUUCUCAUCAUUAAGUAUUUUUUUAUAUCUAAAGCAACUUGUUCCAACUCUUUUUCUGGUUUUCUUUUCCUAAAAGCAGCAAUAUGUUAAAGCUCGCUUCUCUUUUCUAACUCAAAGACUUUCUUUUCAUCCCUUAAAUAACUUAUUAUCUCUUCACACUUUUUAUCGAUAUUGCUCUCCAAUUCCUUCUUCUGCAUCAAAUGACUAACAAGAAGUUUACAUAUUCCUUCUAAAUCCUGUUGAGCAAUUCAGAGUGUUCUUGCUCCAUUUCAUUCACGAAAUCUUUAUAUUUAUGAUUAAGUGACUCAACAUCUUGCUGAUGUUGGUCUCGUGUUGUGUUUUUCUCUAGUUUAAGGCUAUCACGCUUAUGUUUGAGUAACCAAAAAACAAUUUAUCUCUCAUCUACUACACGUUCCACUUCAUUUCUUAGCUUUUUAUUUUUUUUAUUGAUCAACUCUCACUCAAUUUCAAUAUCAUAUUCAUCCUAAUCAAUAAAAGCAACCUUCUUUUCUCAUUAGCAUUAACAUCACUAAAUUUGAUAAAAUCUAGAUAAUAUUCAUCUAAACUAGAGAAGAUUGAUUUAUCUCCACUCAUAUGAUUGCUACACUUAGUGUCUAAAUAGCAUAAAUUUUGAUGAUAUUUCUCAUUUAUAUGACAAGCAAUCAAUAAAGAUAUUUUUUCUUUCUUUUAUGUAAAAUUAGAUUUACCAUCAUUUCUAUUCAAAUUAGCAUGACAUUCAUAUUUAUAAUGUCAAUACCUAUGACACAUGAAACAUUCAACCUUUGAUUUAUCCAUUGGCUUUGGCUUGUAAAAAGUUAAAUGAUUAUUGUCAUUUUUUUUCCUUGUUUGAGAAUUCAAAGAAUGAUUAUCUUUAAAUUUAUGAUGUGAAAAUAUAUCAUUAUUGUUCUUUGUUCUCUUCCUCUUCCUUCUCCAACUAAAAAGUGAUUAUUAGAUAAAACUCAUAAAACUUGCUCUUUUUUAUCUUGUUGAUUCAACUUUUUGUCAUGAAUUAGCAAGAAGCUUUGCAAUUCUUCAAUGGAAAGUUUAUCAAUAUUCUUAGCUUUUUCUAUUGAACUCACAACAAAAUUGAAUUUUGGUGUUAAUGAUCAAAUAAUUUUUUCAAUGAUGGUAAUAUCCUAUGUUUUAUUGUCAUGGAUUUGCAUCUUGUUAAUGUUUUUCAUUGUUCUUGAAAAAAAGUCUAUGACUAACUCUCCCAUAUUCACCCUAUGGAAUUUGAAUUUUGUUUGAAAUGUUUGAAGUUGUUGCUUUUUUGCUCUAGUUUUUUCUUGGUACUUUUUUCCUAUCAAAUCCCAAAUAUCCUUGAAGGUUUCCUUACAAAGAAUGUUUUCAAGAUUGAUGAGUGGUUUAUUGAAAAAUAUAAUUUUUUUUUGCCUUGAAAUCUUUCAAUCCUUGCACUUCUAUCUUUGUUUUUUACACAUUUGUUAUUGUUGAUCUAGAUGAUGGUUCAAUUAUUUCUUGAGAAACAAUUUGUGAAUACUCCUUUGAUCUUAAGAAGUUAUUAUUAACAUGCUCCAAUGAUCAUAGUAAGCAUCAAAACAUGGAAUGGAUGGUUGAACAAAAUAUAGGAAGCCAUGAUUAGAGACUCUUUUCUACUAUUAUUGGAGGCUAACUUGCUACCUUGCUACCUUGCUGGUUAGAUACCAAUUGUUGGAAAUUUUUGCUGCUUCAAAAAAAAAAAAAAUUCUUUUCUUGUUAUUAAGAAGAGUUCAUCUUACUUUUUUGGUCUCAAAUCAACCUAAGCUAUAUCAAUUAUUAAAAAAUAAAACACAAAAGUAUUUGGAUGAAACUCCCAAACUUUAUUGAUUAGUCUAACAUAAAUUGCUUUUUUUAUCAAGGAAUCCUACCUAAAAUAGGAUUACAACUAAUAUAUAACAUUCGGUGUGCUAUCAUGAUUUACUUUCACUAGCUACUGCUUGAUGAAUUGACAUAAUGUAUAACAAAAAAAAGAAGUAUGAUUUGUCAAGUUUUAAAAUAACAACCUUAAAACCCUAGAGAAAACCAUGUUUGAUUUGUUGUAAAAUUUAGCAAUUUAUAAAAUUGUUUUGAAAAUAACACAUCAACUAUUUAUAUAAUGACUAAACCAACCUAGACUAUAAAGGAAAUUCAAACCAAAAUUAACUAGAAAAAUAAAUAAAUAAAUCUAAAAAUAACAAGAAAAAUCCUAAACAUUAACUUUUGGGUAAAAUUUGAACAUGUUCACCAUCUUGACUAGUGCUUAUCAACCUUUAUAGGGAAUAAGGCCCGUAGAACUUUAUAGCAAACUUUCAACUCAUGAAUAUAUCCACUUGAGAUUCCACGUCAUGUAUAUUGUUUUAAAUUCCAUUAUGAUGGGUAUGUAAUUUAGCUCGUUGUUUUAUUACAAAAUCAGAACCAACUAAAAGCAUACUAAAGGAAGCUAAAAUAGCAAAAUUAGCUUCUAAAGGACUUAAAUACUUCAAAUAAAAUUAUAUUUGAAUUAGCAUGUGUCAACUAAAACUAAGUUUCUUUUCGGAUAAUUUUAAGAGUAUUUUCACAUUGGUUUAAUGCAUGUAUUCAUAGUAAUUUAAUAAAUUCUCUUAAAUAUUGUUCCAAUAUUUAAACUAAAGACAAUAGCAAACCUUCUUAAUCAUCCGUUGAACUUCUCGAGAUUAAAAUCCUUUUCUUUUGGAAUACAAUAAUGCACUCGGAUACAUACAAAAUUGAAAUUUAAUCGGUAAAGUUACUUAAUCGGUAAAUUUAAUUUAAGUUUUUGUUUUGCUAAAUUUUAAACAGAUCAAAAUAUUAAUGAAAAAUGUGUUUCUCACCAUCUUUGUCUUUGAAUUAAAAUCCAUGGUAAUAAUUGUACACACAGAUUUUAUAAUAUAAAAAAAAAACAAGGAAAAAGUGUAGAGAAAAUAUUCAGUUUUAUUAAAAUUGGGUGUGAUGGGUACAAUUACCUGAUAAUAAUUUUUAUAGAAAAGAAUUGUUGUUCCUCAUAUACUUUUCUUCGUGAAUAUUUGAAGACCAUGAUCUUGAUAUGUCACUUGAUUUGGUGGUUUGACAAACACUUCUAUAGUGUUGAAGAGAAGUUCUAUAGAAGCACUUGGCUUGAUCCAACAAAACUUUAAUAUUUAAAGACCUUAAGCGUGGAGAUAGAGCAGACAUGCAGGCUUGAAAGCUUUUGGGCAGAGAUUCAAUGCUUGAAGAGAACUUAGUCUCUCUAUCCUGCUCCUCUCUAUACAGGUAAAGCCCUCUAUUUAUGGAGGUUUGGAGGAUUAGAAUUGAACCUUUGUGGGUGGAAAAUAUCAUAAUAAUAAUUUAUGUAAUUAAUAAAAUUAUGUCAAAUAUUGUUUUAGUGACACUUGAUAAACUUAGAAUAUAUAGUCAUUAAAAAAAGAUUUAGGUGAUCCCAGAACAGUAUAUGGAAAUAAAUUUUUAUUUUCGAAAUAUCUUUUAAAAUAUUUAAUUUAGUGACUAUAAAAUAAGAUGUUACUUAACCCAUAAUAAAAUUAGAGGAACCACCAUGGUAUAUAUUUGACAACUUGUGGUAGAGAAAGUUUGGAUCCUACAAAUAGUUCAUCAUUUCUAAAAGAUAAAUAGGUAUAUACACUGUGAAUCUCUAAAAAAAUCUAUUAAUUUUAUAAAUAGGUUACCCUUUCUAAAAUAAUUUAGAAGAAAUAUAGAUAAACAUAUGUUGCUACCCAAUUUUUGACCCAUGUUUUGAUAAAUUUUUAAAAAAAUCCAAAAAUAGCGAAAAACAUUGAAAAUCCAAAAAAUACAUUUUUAAUACAUUUGCAUCGUUUUUAGCAUUUUUAGCAUCGUCUUAAAAGAAUUUAAAUUUUCAACGACAUUUGGAACGCGUUCAACUUUUAACGCGUUAUUUUUAAAAUUAUUGAUUUUCUUCAUUGAGUCGACGUUGAUAUUGCUCGUUUUCAAAAAUACAAAAAAAUUAAGAAAAAUCAAAUUUUACAAAAAAAAGAAAGAAAGUUGAGGGACCAAUUUUGAGAUCCAUGCAACAUUUUACCUAUAAAUACUGGUUCACAACUCAAACAAAAGGGGGGUUUAAUUUUGAAACAUCAGAGAAAAAACCACAAAAAACCCAAAACCACAAAAAAACCCUAAAAACCUAACUCUUUCUGCCUACUCACCCAAGCAGCCGCCGUCCCCCGGGGUCCUUGGCUUUUGCUCUCCCAGAACCAGAGAGCCAAGGACCCCCCGCCAUUGGAAAUGAGCCCUUCUCCCCCUUUGGCCGCUCAUCCUUUGGAAACCAGCAAAAGCUUCCUUUCUCCUUAGCCGGCCACACUCCCAGCCAACAAGAAGGCCGCUCAUUUUCUCUUCUGAGCUCUGGCCGAAACACAGAGAGAGCCCCGUUUGCUCUUGAACCACCGCCUGACCUUCCCUUCUCCUCUCAGCCGCUCAUUUGUCUUGGCCAAUAACCAAGAGGCAGCGGCUCCAUUUUCCUUCCAACCCGCAACCGAUCUCUCCCCUUGCCUCCACCGGAGCUUCAGCGGCCACAGACCCACAUUCUUCACUGUCGGUCGCAGCGGCGACCGAACACCAGCAGCAGCGCCGAUCCGCCCUCCAUCCUCUCCUUCGGCGCCGGGCUUCCCCCUCAGCCUGCAACGACCGGCCACCAGCAGCAGCAGCCGAUCUCCUUCCCCACAGGCCAGCGAACCCAACCGCCUCCAGCAGCGCCGUCCUCCUUCCAUCUCGUGGUCGACCCAGCGGUUCCUCAGCUCCACCACUAGAUCUGCCAUCGGCAGAAGCAGAACAAACCGGGAGGAACGGAUGACAGAAGUUUUUGAGCAGAUCUAAAAAUAACAAACUAAAAUCGACUGGUGUGUGUUUCUUUUCUUGUUCUGCAGGUCGCCGGCGGUUUAGGAGGACAGAGGGGGAAGGAAACAUUCCAGAGCCCCUGUUUUUUUGAGUUUCCAGCGGCGGCGCGUGGGCUCACGCGCCGCCAGUGGCGGUGGCGCGUGGAAGGACGCGCCGCCACUGUUCACACGGGUCCAGAGGGUUACCCUGCGCUGCAAAGGAUUUGUGGGGGGUCUGUUUUGUAAUUUUUAAAGUGUUUGAUGUAAUUUUUGUUUAGUUGUUGAAUUUUUACCAUUGUAUUGUGUAUGUAAAAAGAAAAGAAAAAAGAACAAAAAAUAUAGUGAAAGUGAAUGUGUGUGUUUGUAUUUUUUAUGGAUGUUUUUAUUUAUGAUAAAAUUGCAAAGAAAAAAAAUGAAUUUAAUAUUUUAAUUUAUAUGCACAAAUAUCUAAAGGACAGAUAAAAAUCAUGUUGUAUUUCCCAUGAAAAUGUAGAACAUGUAUCUACAUAUAUUUUGGGAACUAAUAACUGAUUUAUCAAAGCCUUAGAAUUGGGCUAAAAUUUUAUUUUUAAAAACAUAUCAAGUCCACGAAGCAGCUUACCUCAGGUAAGGUGCGUUAGGGGUGCUAAUACCUUCCCUAACCACAACCAGUCCCUUACCCGUGAAUUUCUGACGAGACCAGUACACCCGGGUUUCCUAGUAGCCCUCAAUUAAAUACUAGGUGGCGACUCCCAACGAACCAAUCAAAGCAAAAUCAACAAAAAGAUAAAAUAACCAGCCGAUGCCGCGCGGAUUUUUUUUGACGUGCGACAGAAUGGCGACUCCACUGGGGACCUUGUGGACUGAGCUUUGUUUUUGUCUGAUUUGUUUUUGUUUUCGUGUGUUUAUUGUUAAUAUGCCUUUCCUUUUGUUAUCCGCUUAUAUGCUUUAAAUAUUUUUACACAUAUUGUUCAUGCAUUUGUAUAGAACUGUCUCAUACAUCUUAUAGAACUGUCUCAUGCAUCACAUACUUUGAUUAUUGAGAAGCACACACAAGCUUUAAGUUAAGUGGGGGACUAGCAGCUUACCUUACGACUGUUAGUCAAGGUUUAAGUUUGUGUAAACCCCAACUCUUCGUUGAGUGCUUAGACUGGUAAUAGUUGGACAUGUGCCAUCUCAUUGCCUACAAGCCCCUAUAUUGCCUUCAAGAGGGUAAUCACUGGGACAACAAGAGACCAUUUUUAGAGAUUAAGUAGUAAACCUACCUUUUGUCUCACUUAAAAAGAUUAGAACCUGCCUUUAGGAUAUGUGCUCCGUAUAUAUUGUUUUGCAUCAAGGCAAACCCUUCUUGAAGCAUCUUGAACUCAAGACUUUUGGGUGACCCAAUGGCCGUCACUCAGAAAAUUUUCAUUGUAGAGUUUGGGCAAGAAUCAAGAUUCUUGUUUCAUCAUACAAGAGUUACGACCAUAUGUCACCCCUCGAAGGGCGAGUUCUUCAUAUAGAUUACAUGUUCAUACAUUUAUCAUGCAUGUACCAUGGGGAAAAAUAGGUUCCCCUGUCCAAGGUUUACUACACUGGAUGGAAAAGGAUGGAUAAUAAAGAAAGGGGUCAGAGAGAAGCACAGAAUCAAAGGAAAGUUGAGAGCAUCAAAGGUGAAGUAGCUAGGCUCAGAUCUGCCUGAACAAGUGUUGAGCAUCAAAUGGAAAGAGAAUGUCUGCACAAUCUUCUGUGGAAACACUGCUUGUCCACGUCCAAGUGAAGCUGCGCCUCUCCAUUUCAGUCCUGAACAACAAUAGCAAUGCCUUCAGUCAUCAACUAAUGACAACUUUUGUUCUUGGUCAGUUGCCCUGUUAAUUGUUCAUCACCUCCAUAUCUUUUAAAUGGCACCAAAUAACUGCUAGCCUUCUAUGCAUGGUGCAUUAGCCUUAUCUGAAGUUACCCCCACUGUGAGCUCAAUUCCAGUUCAGACUGAAAAAAAAAAAACACAAAAAAAAAACCAUGAUUAGACACUGAACUUCUACGUUGCAGAGCUCUCUCUGUAGAGAUUCGUUUGUGGCUCUGCAAGAGGGGAAUGCAAGAGGGAAUGUAGUAUUUUCAUAUGCUACAAAAAUUUGCCCCAUCAAUUUCAGAACCGAAACACUGGAGUAGGCCGAAGAGUCAGACCUAGUCUGAAAACGUGGCAGAGCUCUCUCUACAAAAACCUGUUUAUGGCUCUGCAAGUGGAGAAUCCAAGAAGGGAUGCAGUAGUUUCUGAUCAUCUAUAAUUUUCUCUCAUCAGUGUUAGCUUGAAAAUGCAAAAGUAGGGAAAAGAGACAGACCUCGGCUGAAAAAUAGAAAGAAGAUUGAAACUUCAACAGAGCAGAGCUCCCUCUAUAGGUGUCUGUUUGAUGCGCCGUUAGUGAGGAAUCAAAGAGGAGACAAAGGAGUUUCAGAUUCACCAGUUUCUCCUCCAACAAAAACAAUGCAUCAUUUCACACAUUGACAGUGAUAGCGCUGCAGAUUCUAUGCACUGGCAAGAUUACCUAGCUGUUGGAAGGUUUCCAACAAUCCACAAACGACCACAACAACAUUGGAAGAAUGACAUGAUGUUGUGAAGAUCAUCGAAAGAAUUAAGCUAGCUAUGAAGAUGAGAAGGAUUGAAGGUUCUGUCAAGAAUUCCAGAACAAUGAUGAGAGAUGAAUCAGGAGAUGACUCUGAAGGCGGGAAACCAUAGUUAUGUGGUUUAGUCAAGUCUCACUGUAACACCAGCUACUCAAGUGUCGUUGCCAAGAUUGACAUCUUUCUGCCACCCAAGUUGGACUACUAGCAUCUGUCAGAUUCCAGACUUUUUGCCUGACUCUGUUAAAUCCCAUGCAACCACUGUUUCUUAUGUGAUAUAAUCCAAACAGGAGAUUUGAAUAUCAUGGGGGGAUUUCAGGCCAUUCAGUUGAAUAAUUGCAAGAAUCGAGUCCGCAAAUUGGUGAGCAAAAGACGAGAGGAAUCUGUGAAGGAGCUUGUCAUUGAUCAUUUUGUCGCCAGAACAUCCUCAGAAUGACGAGUGAUCGAAAUUGCUCGGUAAACACAGAUAUUGCCAGAAUAGUUGAUCCCAGAAGGGCGUUGAACUGUCAAUCAUGUUGUUAUGGAAUUUUUGCCAUUCUGCAUUUUGUUUUGGGGUCACAUCUCAUCCUUGAACGAAACAUGUCUUUCCUUUGUCUUCCUGUUGUUUUGAAAUCAAGAGAUGUUUAUUUCAAAGGGUUUUUUUACAAAAUAUUUUGAUCAAGCUCCAACAUGCGAUUAAGAUUAAUCAAUCCUGAAGAUUAAAAGUAUUUUGAUUGCAGAAAUAACUCAUGCUUGAAAAUGACAUGAGGUGACCAAUCAAUUUUGAACUCAUACCUCCUGAAACUGCACCACGCAUCAUAUAGCUAGUUUUAGCAGUAUGCAUAAUGACAUGUAGUGGAUUCAAUAGUUAUGGACUCGAAUCAUGACUCUUACAAGUUCUAAUCAUUACACUAGAUGAGGUCAAAAUUUAUCGGUUCUAACCGACCAUUGCUUGAAAUGAGAAAAGGCCAUCUUUGAUAUCCCUUCACUUUCUAAAGAUUAUAUCCCUUGAGUCCCAUUUUGAGCUGGAUAGAAUAUUCCUUUCAUAAAAAACCCUGACUAGGAUCACACCCCACACUGGGGGCAAAUAAGAAAANNNNNNNNNNNNNNNNNNNNNNNNNNNNNNNNNNNNNNNNNNNNNNNNNNNNNNNNNNNNNNNNNNNNNNNNNNNNNNNNNNNNNNNNNNNNNNNNNNNNNNNNNNNNNNNNNNNNNNNNNNNNNNNNNNNNNNNNNNNNNNNNNNNNNNNNNNNNNNNNNNNNNNNNNNNNNNNNNNNNNNNNNNNNNNNNNNNNNNNNNNNNNNNNNNNNNNNNNNNNNNNNNNNNNNNNNNNNNNNNNNNNNNNNNNNNNNNNNNNNNNNNNNNNNNNNNNNNNNNNNNNNNNNNNNNNNNNNNNNNNNNNNNNNNNNNNNNNNNNNNNNNNNNNNNNNNNNNNNNNNNNNNNNNNNNNNNNNNNNNNNNNNNNNNNNNNNNNNNNNNNNNNNNNNNNNNNNNNNNNNNNNNNNNNNNNNNNNNNNNNNNNNNNNNNNNNNNNNNNNNNNNNNNNNNNNNNNNNNNNNNNNNNNNNNNNNNNNNNNNNNNNNNNNNNNNNNNNNNNNNNNNNNNNNNNNNNNNNNNNNNNNNNNNNNNNNNNNNNNNNNNNNNNNNNNNNNNNNNNNNNNNNNNNNNNNNNNNNNNNNNNNNNNNNNNNNNNNNNNNNNNNNNNNNNNNNNNNNNNNNNNNNNNNNNNNNNNNNNNNNNNNNNNNNNNNNNNNNNNNNNNNNNNNNNNNNNNNNNNNNNNNNNNNNNNNNNNNNNNNNNNNNNNNNNNNNNNNNNNNNNNNNNNNNNNNNNNNNNNNNNNNNNNNNNNNNNNNNNNNNNNNNNNNNNNNNNNNNNNNNNNNNNNNNNNNNNNNNNNNNNNNNNNNNNNNNNNNNNNNNNNNNNNNNNNNNNNNNNNNNNNNNNNNNNNNNNNNNNNNNNNNNNNNNNNNNNNNNNNNNNNNNNNNNNNNNNNNNNNNNNNNNNNNNNNNNNACAUCGACCGAAUUUGCAAAAUCCUUGACAAGAAUGACAACAACAUUUCUCGUGGAAAUAUGAGACUUGAUUCCAUAACAAGAAAGAUUGUUAAACAACAAGAACAUCGACCAAAUUUGCAAAAUCCUUGACAAGAAUGACAUCAACACUUCUUGACACUCCUUGAAAAGUUGACCACUUGGGGGCAAUACAGUGGACCCUGAGAAGGAAAACAAUCAGUAUUCAGAUCAGCUGGGGACAAAGAAAAAUCAGAUGAUGAGUCGUCAAAGUCCAUCAAAGUUUUUAGCAUCUGACAAUGACAAAGAAAAAAAACUUGUUGAGUAUAAACAGAUGAACGAGCAUUCAGAUCAUUACUGGGGGCAAUGUUGUUCAAAAACAGUCAGUGAUUUAGUGAACUUCAGCAGCAAUUGAUGAGCAACGCUGCACUUGAAGGGCAUUUUAUUAUCUUCAUCUUGGGGUUACCCUUUGAAACAUGGCUAUGACAGAUGUUAUCUCAUAGUUGCAUUAGAAUGAAUGUCAGAAAGAUGCACACCACCAAGACUGACUGUGGGACCAUAUGUUUUGGAGCUCAAUGCGCACUUCACCGUAUGAAUAUGGGUGAUAACAUGAACAUCAUUGAUGAUGUCGAGACAUUUCUUUCCACUAUCUGAUUUAACAAGCUGAGAGAAAUCCAUGAGAAAGAACAUUGGCAUACAACGAUGAGUCUUUCACUGCAAGCUAUGAGAUGCAUGUCUGGACGAUUGGAUAAUUUCCAUGAAGACUGGUGAUAACAUUACUUGAAGAGUAUUGUUUCAGCUUGAGGCAAGUUUAUGACUGAUGGACAAUCAUGAUGGGUGUUGGCAUGAUGCACACAACCAAUCAGAGGAUAAUUCUUAGAAGAAUCCAGGAGAGAAAAUCCUUCACAAUGAAUCAAGCAACACCACACUUGGGGGCAAGGUCAAGCUUGAUAAACAGCGAGAGCAGUAAUCGUCAUGGACAGCCUAGAUUGGGCACUGCACUUACAACUGGUUGGAUGGCUAGCACACGAAUGAGUCAGUACAUGGGAAGGACAGAUAAAGCUUUGGAAUGCAAACAAAGGCACCCUGUGAUGAUGGAACAUCGAAGAGGGGGGACCUAUAUUUCGAAUCAGGUAAGGAUGCAUGCAUGUCAGCUAACGUUAAAACAUUGUACAUAUUUUUUAUUUUGUUGCAGGAAAAAUCCUCAAUGUAGUUUAGCAAGAUUGGGGACCAAAAAAAAAAAGAGAAUCAUUGAGCUGAUAAUGACAGAGAAUCAUGUUGUAACCUUGGAACGGGAAGAAGAUGAGAGAUAAACCUUACUGUUAGGAAAAUCUCAAAGAAAUGAAAAGAUCAACCUUGCAAUCAGGAAGCAUCGAGUUUUCAAACCCUGCGAUCAAGAAUUAUCAAGAAGCACCAAGUUUUCCGGCCCUUCUUCUAUCAUCCCUUCAGGACUUCGCCAGGUAAGUCCCAUUUUUCACACUUGUCACAUCACAUCUUUCAUUUGGGUAGGUCACCCAUAACAAUGAGACCAUUUCACAUUUUUUUUCUAUCUUCCACCUGGGUAGGUCACCCAUAACAAUGAGACCACUUCACAUUUUUUCUAUCUUCCAUCUGGGUAGGUCACCCAUUAUAACGCGACCACUUCACUUUUUUUCUAUCUUCCACCUGGGUAGGUCACCCAUUAUAACGCGACCACUUCACAUUUUUUCUAUCUUCCACCUGGGUAGGUCACCCAUUAUAAUGAGACCGCACUUCACAUUCUUUCCGUUUGGGUAGGUCACCCAUCAUAAUGAGACCAUUUUCCAUCAUUUUUUCUUGGGUUCGUCACCCAUACAAUGAGACCAUCAUUUUUUUUCUUGGGUUCGUCACCCAUACAAUGAGACCAUCAUUUUUUUCUUGGGUUAGUCACCCAUACAAUGAGACCACCAUUUUUCUGGGGUUCGUCACCCAUACAAUGAGACCAUCAUUUUUCUGGGGUUCGUCACCCAUACAAUGAGACCAUCAUUUUUCUUGGGUUAGUCACCCAUACAAUGAGACCAUCAUUUUUCUGGGGUUCGUCACCCAUACAAUGAGACCACCAUUUUUCUUGGGUUCGUCACCCAUACAAUGAGACCACCAUUUUUCUUGGGUUCGUCACCCAUACAAUGAGACCAUCAUUUUUCUGGGGUUCGUCACCCAUACAAUGAGACCAUCAUUUUUCUGGGGUUCGUCACCCAUACAAUGAGACCAUCAGUUUUCUUGGGUUCGUCACCCAUACAAUGAGACCAUUUGUUCCACAUUCUUUGUUUUGGUUUAAUGAGGUCGCCAGAUGGGAUCUCAUGUAGCUUUGGUUAAAGGGAAUCGCCAGAUGGGAUUUCAGGUUAACCGAGUUACCACACAUUUUUUUAAGUUCAAAUUGAAUGAGGUCGCCACAUGGGAUCUCAUGUAGCUUUGGUUAAAGGGAAUCGCCAGAUAGGAUUUCAGGUUGACCGAGCUACACACAUUCUUUGGUUUUGAAAAAGGAGAUCGCCAGAUGGGAUCUCAAGUUAACAAAAAAAAAAAGGGAAAGAAACAUUUAGAGUUUUUCUUUACAAAGCUUACUAUGCGAAACAUUGAGGAGUUUUGCUUCGUAAGCAUUGUAAAGAGGGGGCAUCUGUUGCUACCCAAUUUUUGACCCAUGUUUUGAUAAAUUUUUAAAAAAAUCCAAAAAUAGCGAAAAACAUUGAAAAUCCAAAAAAUACAUUUUUAAUACAUUUGCAUCGUUUUUAGCAUUUUUAGCAUCGUCUUAAAAGAAUUUAAAUUUUCAACGACAUUUGGAACGCGUUCAACUUUUAACGCGUUAUUUUUAAAAUUAUUGAUUUUCUUCAUUGAGUCGACGUUGAUAUUGCUCGUUUUCAAAAAUACAAAAAAAUUAAGAAAAAUCAAAUUUUACAAAAAAAAGAAAGAAAGUUGAGGGACCAAUUUUGAGAUCCAUGCAACAUUUUACCUAUAAAUACUGGUUCACAACUCAAACAAAAGGGGGGUUUAAUUUUGAAACAUCAGAGAAAAAACCACAAAAAACCCAAAACCACAAAAAAACCCUAAAAACCUAACUCUUUCUGCCUACUCACCCAAGCAGCCGCCGUCCCCCGGGGUCCUUGGCUUUUGCUCUCCCAGAACCAGAGAGCCAAGGACCCCCCGCCAUUGGAAAUGAGCCCUUCUCCCCCUUUGGCCGCUCAUCCUUUGGAAACCAGCAAAAGCUUCCUUUCUCCUUAGCCGGCCACACUCCCAGCCAACAAGAAGGCCGCUCAUUUUCUCUUCUGAGCUCUGGCCGAAACACAGAGAGAGCCCCGUUUGCUCUUGAACCACCGCCUGACCUUCCCUUCUCCUCUCAGCCGCUCAUUUGUCUUGGCCAAUAACCAAGAGGCAGCGGCUCCAUUUUCCUUCCAACCCGCAACCGAUCUCUCCCCUUGCCUCCACCGGAGCUUCAGCGGCCACAGACCCACAUUCUUCACUGUCGGUCGCAGCGGCGACCGAACACCAGCAGCAGCGCCGAUCCGCCCUCCAUCCUCUCCUUCGGCGCCGGGCUUCCCCCUCAGCCUGCAACGACCGGCCACCAGCAGCAGCAGCCGAUCUCCUUCCCCACAGGCCAGCGAACCCAACCGCCUCCAGCAGCGCCGUCCUCCUUCCAUCUCGUGGUCGACCCAGCGGUUCCUCAGCUCCACCACUAGAUCUGCCAUCGGCAGAAGCAGAACAAACCGGGAGGAACGGAUGACAGAAGUUUUUGAGCAGAUCUAAAAAUAACAAACUAAAAUCGACUGGUGUGUGUUUCUUUUCUUGUUCUGCAGGUCGCCGGCGGUUUAGGAGGACAGAGGGGGAAGGAAACAUUCCAGAGCCCCUGUUUUUUUGAGUUUCCAGCGGCGGCGCGUGGGCUCACGCGCCGCCAGUGGCGGUGGCGCGUGGAAGGACGCGCCGCCACUGUUCACACGGGUCCAGAGGGUUACCCUGCGCUGCAAAGGAUUUGUGGGGGGUCUGUUUUGUAAUUUUUAAAGUGUUUGAUGUAAUUUUUGUUUAGUUGUUGAAUUUUUACCAUUGUAUUGUGUAUGUAAAAAGAAAAGAAAAAAGAACAAAAAAUAUAGUGAAAGUGAAUGUGUGUGUUUGUAUUUUUUAUGGAUGUUUUUAUUUAUGAUAAAAUUGCAAAGAAAAAAAAUGAAUUUAAUAUUUUAAUUUAUAUGCACAAAUAUCUAAAGGACAGAUAAAAAUCAUGUUGUAUUUCCCAUGAAAAUGUAGAACAUGUAUCUACAUAUAUUUUGGGAACUAAUAACUGAUUUAUCAAAGCCUUAGAAUUGGGCUAAAAUUUUAUUUUUAAAAACAUAUCAAGUCCACGAAGCAGCUUACCUCAGGUAAGGUGCGUUAGGGGUGCUAAUACCUUCCCUAACCACAACCAGUCCCUUACCCGUGAAUUUCUGACGAGACCAGUACACCCGGGUUUCCUAGUAGCCCUCAAUUAAAUACUAGGUGGCGACUCCCAACGAACCAAUCAAAGCAAAAUCAACAAAAAGAUAAAAUAACCAGCCGAUGCCGCGCGGAUUUUUUUUGACGUGCGACAACAUAUAUGAAGCUUAUAAUUAAAAACUUAUUUGAAGCUGCACUUUAAGUACAAAAUAAAGACAAAGAUAGACUACCAUACAUUUUUAGAUAAUCCCGGAAUAAUAUAUGGCAAUAAAAUUUUGACUUGCCAAAUAUCUUUAUGAAUAUUUUAUUUAAUUAUUACAAACAUAAGAUGCCACUUAACCCAUAAUUUUAAUAGCUCAACUAGUUAGUUCUUGAGUUCGCUAUCUAGAUAUCACCAGUUUGAGUCUUAUAAACCUCAUGGCUAUUGAAAGUUUACAUGAUUGUUAACUUCAGGGCCUGUGAGAUUAGUCAAAGUGCGCGCAAACUGACUCAGAUAUCCAUAUUAAUUAAAAAAAACUUACAAGGACCAUGUUGCUAUAAAUUCGAUAAUUUGUGGUAGAAAUAUUUUCGAUCCUACAAUAACACAGAGAAAAAAAUCCCUCAAUAAUUCGAAACAAGCCUGGAAUGCUGACUUCCUCAAAAGUAGAAUGGAAGAGAUGUAGAACCCAAAAAUUAAAAGACAACCUAAAUUUAUAAAGUGAAGUUUUAAACCCACAAGUGGCCUUGCAAUAAUGAAAUAAAGAAUUGAGCACGAAUUAUCCAACAUACCAAAUUGCCAUCAGUGAUUGGCUUUGGGAGGAUCUCGAGUUCAAAAUAAAUUUAUUUGGGUAAACAUAGCAAAUUGUACAACAUCUUUUUUUGUUCGCCCUUAUUUAAAAAAAAAAAAUACAAAUGACACAUAGUUUAUAAUGAUAGAAGACAAGUUGCCUACUAAGCACCAACUCGGAAACUCGGAAUCUGUCCAUCUAUGUGAUGGUGAAAAACAAUGAAGGGGUUUUUUUUGGGUUGAAAAUUUAUUUUUCAAUCAAUUUAAAAAAAAAACACUUAAUAAAUACCAUAAAGAUAUCUCGAAACCAUUUAAUUACUCUAAAACACAUCAAAAUAACCCAAAAAAUAAAAAUCAACCAAAUAAAAAAUCUCUAAACUGAGCCCAAUCAAUUUUUAUAAGCAAUAUAAAGGUUCAAAACCAGCACAAUCGAAUCUUCAUUAUCAAAUAGAAUCUAUUGAUUCCAUAAACAAUGAGUUUCUCACCUUAUAACAUUUCUUUUUUUAGUUGUUUUCUAAUAAAUUUCUCUCUCAUCUCUCUAACAUAGAAACCGAAAAAUGAACAAGAUAAAUUUUAUGAUAAAAAUAAAAAUUGUAGUGAAUUUUACCAUAUAUUUUUACCUUUUUUUUCAUUGUAGUCCUCAUCUAUUUUUUAAUUUUAUAUUUUUAUGAUAAUUUAAUAUAUAAUAUUAUCUAAUUAAACUACAAAAGGAUUCCAUCGAAAGACAAAAAAUUUUGAAAAUGAAAAAAAGAGAAGGCAAGAGCUUAAUUGUUUAUAUAAAGAAUGAAACCGAUCUUAGUUGGUUUAAUUGUUUUUAUAAUUCUAUCCAAAGACUCUUUGAAAAUUAAUUAAAUUAAAGACUUUUAGCUUUCUUUUUAUGUAAUAAAAAAUAGAAGAAGUCAGAGUUUGGUAUCCCCUUUGGUGUUUUUAUAGCAUAAGGUUCAUGCGAGAAGGGUAUAAAUAUUUUAAUGCAUGGCUAGGGAUUGUGGCAAGUGACUAAAGUCCGGUUUGAAGCUACUCUUUAAAAGUGUGGUCUAAAUAGAGAUUUGUUAAAAAUUAAUUUAAAAAUAUUAAUUUGUUUUAUAUAUUUUUUUUAUUUUAAUAUGUUAAAAUGAAAAAUAUAUUUUAAAAAUAAAAAAAUAUUAUUUUAAUAUAUAUCAAAACAAAAAAUAUUUUUAAAAAUAACAACUUUCAUAUUAUCAACUAACCUGAAAAGAAAUGGUGGUGUCGUCACCAUAUAUUAUUAAAAUAAUUGUUUUUUGUUAGCAUUAUAUGGGCCUCACGCUUAAAAAGCCUAAAACUAUGCGCACUAAUAUUGAUACAAACAUGUUUUUAUACUAUUUAUCUUAUAACCCAUAACUAUAUAUUAAAAGCAUAUAUAUUAUAUAAAAAUAGUUGAUUUAACUAAAUUUUAUUAAUUUUAUAAAUAAAAUAGGAAUUUUAAUACGGAUUUUUUAUUUGUUUUUCAUAUAAAGCUAAUAAUUAAUAAUUUAAUUAACUUUUCCCUUUUUUAUAAAAUCUAAUUAUUAGUAAGUGUACUCAUUCCAUAUCUAAUUAAGCAAAAGACUAAAACAACAAUAUAUAAUUUCUUAACACUAGUUAAUUUCGUUUUCUAUAUGCCAACUCAUGCAUUAUACAAAAUCUUAAAUAAUAUUAAAAAAAAACCUCUUAAAUCAUCCCUAACCUAUAUAGUACAUCAUAUAAACUUUAUAUUGAUUAUCAAAACUGUAAAAUUACUUUAAAACUAGUCAUUGAAGGCCAGCAAUUCAAAUCUAAAAUUAUAUCAAAUUUUUAAGGAUUUAUUUUUUGAAGUUCUCUUGAUAAAUAUAUAUAUUUUUAUUAUUUUCUAGCUACUAAUUAUAGCAGCAAUCCAUGAAAACUUAAUAAAAAGUAUUAUAUAUAUAUAUAUAUAUAUAUAUAUAUAAUUGAAUAAUUCAUGUGUGAAGCCCAUGGUAAGAACUCUAAUAAUUAAAUACAUGUAAGUUUUUGCAUUUAAUACUUGAGUGAACUUAGUUGUUGUCUAGAAGACUAUUAUAUAUUAUAUCGAUGAUAUUGCCAACUAGUUUUUCAAGCAGUUGAUUAUAAAUUCCUUUAAAUAUAGUAUGAAAUAAUAAUGAUGUAUUUGAAUUUUAUUUAGCAUAAUGAAAUUACUAUUUUUUUUUCUAAAAAAAGAAUAGAACUUAUCAGUCAAUAAAAAAGCUUCUAGAAAUUUCAAAGAAAUGGAGACAAAUUAGCGCUCGUCAACAAAUCCAGAAUGACUUUCUGUGUCCACUAUCAUUAUCAAGAAGUGCCGGUGCUAAUCCUCUCUGGUUAUAGAAAUUUCUAAGAAAUGAACACAAAGUAGCAGAAAGCAACACGGCAAGGGACUCCAUGAUCUCUGUCCCCACUAUCAUUGACUUUUUUCCAAUCAGCAAUAAAUGAGGGCACGACUUUUUUCAUUGACUUCAAUCUCCAGUUUUGCUAAGCUACCUCUAUUCCUUGUUCCCAUUACCUCUCAUCUGAUAAAAGGAUGAACUCUCUUUCUUCCACCAUGAGGGCUGUUAGCUAGCUAGAGAGCUUGAUCGCCCAAAAGAUGAAUUCUCUCAAAUUCUACGUUAUCCUGCUCUCGUUGCUUACCCUUGCUAUUAUCACUCUAGCACAGGAGGAUGCCAACUACCUCUAUCAUAAUUGCCAAAACGCAACCACCUCCACAAUAAACAGCACCUACCGAGUCAAUCUAAAUCUCCUCCUCUCUUCACUUGCCUCAAAUGCAACCCUGAAUAAUACCAUUGGAUUCUACAACACCUCUUUCGGGCAGAGCACUGAUCAAGUGUACGGCCUGUUUAUCUGCCGUGGCGAUCUUAGCAACACUGUUUGCCAAAAUUGUGUCACCUUCGCCACCAAAGAUAUAGUCCAGCGUUGCCCAGUUGGAAUAGCGUCCAUUGUGUAUUACGAUGCGUGCAUCCUACGUUACUCUAACGUGAACUUUUUCUCUAAGGUGGAUCAAAGCCCUGGUUUCUCCUUGUUAAACACACAGAAUAUCACAACCGAACCCCAGCGUUUUAACAAUCUAGUGGGAGCCGCCGUGAAUGAUUUGGCUGCUCGAGCUGCAAGUGCUCCUCCAGGUGCUAAAAAGUUUGCCGUGAACAAAACGUCUUUCAAUGCGUUCCAAAAUAUAUACAGCCUUGCCCAGUGCACACCGGAUUUAUCUAGCUCUGAUUGCAAUCGAUGUCUCAGUGCAGCUAUAGCUGGAUUGCCCAAUUGCUGCAGCAGCAAGAUAGGAGGAAGAGUCUUGUUUCCUAGUUGUUAUAUUCAUUAUGAAAUUACUGAAUUUUAUGAUGCAACGGCAGUUGCAGCGGAGUCACCGCCUCCUCCUCCUCCCUCGUGGCUCUUCCUUCUCCUCCACCUCCUCGUUCAGCGACACUACCAGAAGGUAAAGUUAUUUUCCACUAUUUAUUGUUUUAUUCAAUAUCUUUAAUAUUCCCCACUCUAACAAAAUCGUUACUAUAUAUAGAAUGCACUC
rnacentral:lncRNA from 1 species